GAUGAACGCUAGCGGCAGGCUUAACACAUGCAAGUCGAGGGGCAGCAUGAGACGGAGAUUCGUCAAAGUCUUGAUGGCGACCGGCGCAAGGGUGCGUAACGCGUGAGCAACUUGCCCGUUUCAGGGGGAUAACCGGUGGAAACGCCGACUAAUACCCCAUAGUAUGUUUUUAAGGCAUCUUUUAAACAUUAAAGAAUUUCGGAAACGGAUAGGCUCGCGUGACAUUAGCUAGAUGGCGGGGUAACGGCCCACCAUGGCGACGAUGUCUAGGGGUUCUGAGAGGAAGGUCCCCCACACUGGAACUGAGACACGGUCCAGACUCCUACGGGAGGCAGCAGUGAGGAAUAUUGGUCAAUGGUCUAACGACUGAACCAGCCAUGCCGCGUGAAGGUGACGGCCCUAUGGGUCUUAAACUUCUUUUGUAAGGGAGCAAUAAGUUCUACGUGUAGAGCGAUGAGAGUACCUUACGAAUAAGCAUCGGCUAACUCCGUGCCAGCCGCCGCGGUAACAC
rnacentral:rRNA from 1 species